CCAGACUCCUACGGGAGGCAGCAGUGGGGAAUAUUGCACAAUGGGGGAAACCCUGAUGCAGCGACGCCGCGUGAGUGAAGAAGUAUCUCGGUAUGUAAAGCUCUAUCAGCAGGGAAGAAAGAAAUGACGGUACCUGAGUAAGAAGCCCCGGCUAACUACGUGCCAGCAGCCGCGGUAAUACGUAGGGGGCAAGCGUUAUCCGGAAUUACUGGGUGUAAAGGGAGCGUAGACGGUGAAGUAAGUCUGGAGUGAAAGGCGGGGGCCCAACCCCCGGACUGCUCUGGAAACUAUUUGACUGGAGUGCAGGAGAGGUAAGCGGAAUUCCUAGUGUAGCGGUGAAAUGCGUAGAUAUUAGGAGGAACACCAGUGGCGAAGGCGGCUUACUGGACUGUAACUGACGUUGAGGCUCGAAAGCGUGGGGAGCAAACAGGAUUAGAUACCCGAGUA
rnacentral:rRNA from 1 species